GGCAAGUCUGGCGUGGUGCAGUCCAUGGGAUCGCAAAGGGUUGGACACGACUGAGCAACUGACAACAAUGUUUCCUCAAGUGGGUAUGACAUCUCCCUUACCUAGGGGCCAGCCUGCCCCAGGGAGAGAGAUGACAGGUGAGAGAGUUUGCAGCAGUCCUCAUGUCAGCUGGACCCCUCUGGAGGUCUGCAUGCCUCUUUGCAGUCCCCAUGUCUCCAGACAUUCUUUCCCUAAAGGGGUAGGUGAGCGGGACUCCAGAGUCCCCACUUCAGCUCCCCAGACCUUCCGUGUAAGUGGCUGUCUUUUCCAGAGUUUUCACGUCAGGGGCCCUGCCCCUCCCAGUUAGAAUUGUCCGAGCGCUGCCUGAACUUGCUGACAGGACUUUGUGCUUGAAGACAUAAAGAGAAAAAGAAGUGGAAAAGAUAACCAGGAAGGACAACGGUGACUGGCAGACCGACUUUGUCUCUACAUCAGGGGAGCAUACAACAGAUGUGGAUAUUAUCCUUAACCAGGAGACCUGAAACUCCAUUCUAAACUUGGGAAGAGAAGGCUGCCUUCAUCCGUUCACCGCACCUGUCCAAGAACCCUGAUGGGAGAAGAAGGCAUGCUCCCAGACUUUGCUUGGCCAUGAGGAUGGAGAGAGCAACUGGAGUCCUUGCUCAGAGCAACAGGCACAGUGGAACCAGAGCAGCCUGCAGAAGUCAAACACACCCUGGAAGUUUUGAGGAACUCCAGAGAGCCAAGAUUCAACAGUUUGCACACCUUCUUCCAGGAUGUUCAGAAACCACUUGAGAAGUAAAUUCAGA
ensembl:lncRNA